UAUAAGAACACAAAUUGAGAACAAGGACUUAUCAAAAAGAAUUUAACUAUAACACAAGGAGUAAAAAUGUUUCCUAACCAUGAACAACUUAGAUUUCUUCCAAUUUAUGUAACAAGAAAAAAUUCCAAAUGCUAUAACAUGAACCAGCUAGCAUAUCAAAUGACACCUCCAAACUAUGGAGAGAAUAAUCUGAAACCAUACAGGGCAUAUGAUAUGCCUUUUCAUAUGUAGUCCAUAACCAUAAGUCAUACUGCAAGAGUAAUAUCUAUGAGCAUAUGCCACCAAAUUUCUAAAGCAUCAAUCUAUGAGUAUCUUGUUGUCUCUAAGAGUAACAUGUCAAUCAAACGUCCCUAAAUUUGAUUAUGUUUACAUAAUCUUUAUAACAAAGCACUUUCUAUGAGCCAAAUCUGUCUCUUAAGCCACCUAAUCUAAACCAAAAUCACAUAAAACCCAAGCUACAUACACUAUCAACACCAAGAGUAGCACCGGAGAAUAGAAAACAACAUCCUUCCAUCAAACCAAUAGCAGCAACACGCCUCAUCAAAAACAAGCUACAUACACUAUCACUCGAGACUAUGAUCACUAGUUCGCCGCAUCAUCCCCAUCAUCCUCCAUGUC
rnacentral:lncRNA from 1 species